rnacentral:lncRNA from 1 species
GAAAGAGAGACACAGAGAGAAUAAUCUAUUCCAGAAAUACCUACACAAACAUACUCAGUUAUAAUGUUUUACUAGAUACCUGAGAAUCCCUUAGUCUUAUUAGUAUUGAUGCAAAAUUAACUAGCACAAUGUAUGCAUGCACAUAGAAUUUGCACGCAUAUCAAGAAUAUAUGGACCCCCACAUAUAUAUUCCUGCAUGCUAUGACUUUUAAAGAUCUAGGAAAAAUCUUUAUAAGUCUAUGGUUUCAUAAUGUACAAAUCCAUUCCAUUUGAUGUUCAUCUACCUCUUAAUGCCACAUUUGUCUCUAGGCACUGUGCAGCUGGGCUGAUGAUCCCUCCUUUUAGGUUUGGCUAGAGGAUUAGCUGGAGACUCACUUCCAAGAUCUGUGUUCUCUCAUUUCAGAGGCAAGCCAGGCAUGGACCACUGCUGUGUGUGAUGUCUGACCGGGUCUGGCCUCUCUCAACUUUACACGACCAACACUUAGAGAUGAAGAUUGGUCACAGAUAGCAAAGAUGAAGUAGCCUCUGAGCUUCUCCACUGGCUCCAGAUGCCCCCAGAUUCUAUAACAAGCACACCCACUAUCCCUGUACCAACUGAGACAUGUAUAUGACAAUGAUACUAUGCCAAUGCUGACCAUCUGCAUCUAAUUUUUUUUUUUAAUUGAACUUUUUAUUCUGUCAAGGCAGGAUCUCUAGAAGAUGUCCCCAGCCAUUACGGCCCACACUGUAGUCAGUGCACACUGACUGAUGCCCCUGCAUCUCACCGCCAUCUUUCAGUUGUUAUCUGUUGGGAUUGGUCUGGAGCUGCUAUGAAUCCAAAUGCUAAACACUCUACCCCAAGAUCUGGUUGUCCCGGGACCAAUGGAAAAUACAAUGAGCCAAUCUCAAAA